GAUGAAGAACGUAGCGAAAUGCGAUAAGUAGUGUGAAUUGCAGAAUUCAGUGAAUCAUCGAAUCUUUGAACGCACAUUGCGCCCCUCGGUAUUCCGUGGGGCAUGCCUGUUCGAGCGUCAUUUAACCCCUCAAGCCUAGCUUGGUAUUGGGUGCUUGUCCCGCCUCUCGCGCGGCGACUCACCUCAAAGUCAUUGGCAGCCCGCAUCUCGCCGGCCGUGAGCGCAGCACAGACGCGCUCUUGGCAACGACGGAUCGGCUCUCCAAAAGCUUAUUUCAACCACUGACCUCGGAUCAGGUAGGGAUACCCGCUGAACUUAAGCAUAUUAAUAAGCGGAGGA
rnacentral:misc_RNA from 1 species